CCGAUUUGACUACAUAUGUCUGUGCGCGCGCGCCGGGGAGACUGACCUAGACACGGUGGCCUCGUCUAUUUCGCUCGAGAAUAUAUAAGUUCUUGCCCAGAAAUCCGCUUCUAGAAAAUCGCCGUUCCCGAGUUUGGCCACACGAGGGCAGUCAAGCUCCAUCUAGCGCAAUACACAACGCCGCCUGAAACUGAAGCUUUCUCAAAGGACAGUGGCGAGGCAUAAAACAGGAGGCUAACGAGCUGCUUGCUAAACUUCGAUCUGAGCAGAGCGCACUGCUACAUCCUUCAUCAGCUCAAGAAAGUGCCACACGGGCCAGCUAUCAGAUUUCCUGUAUUUUACAUCAAGAACAGCUAUGUGCCCAAUCCAUCGGGCUUGUGGAUGUGAUGCGUGACGUCGUCAAAAUUGUGAAUGAUAUACGCUCCAAGGUGCUCUCUCACCUGCAGUUCAAGGUACUGUUGGAUGAGAUGGAUGCACAAUAUGGUGAUGUGUUGUACCACCAGGAGGUUAGAUGGCUGAGCAGAGGAAAAGUUUUCAGGAGAUUUUUUGAUCUGCGUGAUGAGAUCGGAGCUUUUCAGGAAAGCAAGAUUGGUAGUAUUCAAGAGCCCAUAGAUAAGAAAUGGCUUUCUGACCUGGCUUUCCUGGUGGACGUCACAGAGCUGCUCAAUGUUUUAAAUGUUCAGCUCCAGGGAAAAGACCAGAUUAUCACCCAUCUUUUUUAUCACAUCAGAGCCUACAAACAAAAACUACUGCUGCUCAGAAGACAUCUCUCAGCAGGUAACAUUCACAAUUAUAAUAUGCACCAUAAUUUUAUGUGCAGUUAUUGUUAUUAUUAAUACUUAUAUUUAGUUAGCAUUUAUAUCCAGUGGUGUCAGCUUUGGGUUUUUUUGUUAAUCAAGCUGAUAAAUUUUGUGUCAAAGUUCUCUUAAAUUAUCAUGGAUUAAUUUCCUCGUUUUGUCAGUUAUUUAUUCUAUUUGCCUCCCUCUCUC